rnacentral:rRNA from 1 species
GACGAACGCUGGCGGCGUGCCUAAUACAUGCAAGUAGAACGCUGAAGGAGGAGCUUGCUUCUCUGGAUGAGUUGCGAACGGGUGAGUAACGCGUAGGUAACCUGCCUGGUAGCGGGGGAUAACUAUUGGAAACGAUAGCUAAUACCGCAUAAGAGUAGAUGUUGCAUGACAUUUGCUUAAAAGGUGCAAUUGCAUCACUACCAGAUGGACCUGCGUUGUAUUAGCUAGUUGGUGGGGUAACGGCUCACCAAGGCGACGAUACAUAGCCGACCUGAGAGGGUGAUCGGCCACACUGGGACUGAGACACGGCCCAGACUCCUACGGGAGGCAGCAGUAGGGAAUCUUCGGCAAUGGACGGAAGUCUGACCGAGCAACGCCGCGUGAGUGAAGAAGGUUUUCGGAUCGUAAAGCUCUGUUGUAAGAGAAGAACGAGUGUGGGAGUGGAAAGUUCACACUGUGACGGUAUCUUACCAGAAAGGGACGGCUAACUACGUG